GAACAAUUUCUAUCUUUGGCCUUAAUCUAUGUUUACAUUUUAAAAUCUUAAGGACAAAUCCUUUACAAAGAAGUUGUUUGUCGGGGUGGGGGAUGUUUAACUCUUACAAAAAUGAUUUCGUUAAUCAAAGCUUUUGGUUCUUCUUUUGUACUUCUCUGUAAAAUAUUACUUUGAGAAUUCUCAAUGAGAUAGUGGCUGGAUUGAGAACAAGUGAUUAAAGACAUCUCUGGAAUGGUCAGCGAGGUGAUGCAGCAAGAAAGUGCCCAAAGGCUUGAUGAUAAUCUUCGGUGUCUUGACUGCAUAGCCCUUCUUUUGAAAGGAAACUGGAAUAAGUUAUAGAUUUGGAAGGCUUCCAAAAGAGCAGCUUCCUUGGUUUGCUUCCAGAACCUCCACUUCCGGCAGGACCCAGAAACACAACAGCAGCAGCCCAUCUUGUGAUACUUUGGCUCCUUUACUCUGACCACCAGCCAGAAGCUGGGGGUGGAAAAAGAAUCAACAGCAAUAGAAACGUUUCUAAUUUUUAGAAAAUACAAGAUUGAAACUAACCAAAAAUAUGGGGAUGAGGUGAGGGGUCAGAAGUAAAUGCUACAAAUUAUAUCAUAUUUUGGCAACAAAAUCACUUAGAUGUUAAGUUCCAUGAAAGCAAUGACAAUGCCUGUGGUUACUUGUCUUUUUUCUCCAAAACCUAAUAUUGGGGUUGUGCACUUAAUAGCUGCUCAGUAAAUAUUUGUGGAAUGAAUAUAAAGAAAGACUAAAUUAUUUGUAGUCUGCUUGAAGGAUAGAGACUUUAGUCAACUAAAGAGCAUCUUCCUGUUUAAUUUUCUUCAGGUGAAAAACAUUACAUGCUGGGCUUCUUCAAAAUAAGAGGCUUAAAACAAUUAUUCUGACCAGGCAGCAUCACUACUACAUGUUAUAUGUUUUCCAGAGGUGCAUAAGAAGCAAAAGUAGAGGAGAGUUUUUAAGUCAUCAAUAUUUGUACCCAUAGAACUUGACCAGCAUUUCUACUGCCCUUCACCUUGAGGAAGAUGCUUUCUCCAGGUUCAGCAACAUCACUGACUUUGCUUUUGGAGGUAAAAAGCUUUGAAACAUCACCUACAACCCUCAUAGUGAAAGAGGAUGGGGAGGUAUGUGUGAAAGAUUCCCUCAGAUUGGUUGCAGGGUAAAGAGGUUGAGAGUUGAAGCAAGGAUUGAACAGCUUCAUCCAUUAUCCAUAGACAGUUGCCAUUUUUGAGUACUGCUUUGUGAAAGUAGAGGUUGCAAAGACACACAGACACCAGCCCUUAUCCUUCUAGGUCUUACACUCUGGCAACCCCUUCACCAGCU
rnacentral:lncRNA from 10 species